rnacentral:rRNA from 1 species
GCACGAGCGCACCCUUGCCCUAUGUUGCCAGCGGAUCAUGCCGGGGACUCAUGGGGGACUGCCGGUGAUAAACCGGAGGAAGGUGGGGACGACGUCAAGUCAUCAUGGCCCUUACGCCCAGGGCUACACACGUGCUACAAUGGCCGGUACAAAGGGCUGCAAUCCCGCGAGGGGGAGCGAAUCCCAAAAAGCCGGCCUAAGUUCGGAUUGUAGUCUGCAACUCGACUGCAUGAAGUCGGAAUCGCUAGUAGUCGUGUAUCAGCAACGACACGGUGAAUACGUUCCCGGGCCUUGUACACACCGCCCGUCAAGCCAUGGAAGCUGGGAGUGCCCGAAGUCUGUGACCCAACCUAGUGAGGGAGCAGCCGAAGGUAAGUUCGGUGACUGGGGCUAAGUCGUAACAAGGUAGCCGUAGGGGAACCUGCGGCUGGAUCACCUCCUUU